rnacentral:rRNA from 1 species
AGACACGGUCCAGACUCCUACGGGAGGCAGCAGUGGGGAAUAUUGCACAAUGGGCGCAAGCCUGAUGCAGCCAUGCCGCGUGUAUGAAGAAGGCCUUCGGGUUGUAAAGUACUUUCAGCGGGGAUGAAGGGAGUAAAGUUAAUACCUUUGCUCAUUGACGUUACCCGCAGAAGAAGCACCGGCUAACUCCGUGCCAGCACCGCGGUAAUACCAAGGGUGCAAGCGUUAAUCGGAAUUACUGGGCGUAAAGCGCACGCA